CCGCACUGCCUUUGACCCGGCCGUGCCCCUCCUGGCGCCGCCGGCCAAGCAGCGGUGCUACAGCAAAGCGCUUGUUCAUAACUGGUGCUGCUCGGCCCGACCCGGGCGGCGCUUUUAAAAACAAGUGACAUUU